AGAAGAAGAAGUAGCACAAGAGGUAGAGGAGGCAGUAGAAGCAGAGUUUGUUGAGACAGAGGAACAGAUUCAGGAUGAGCCCACAGAAACGUAAAGGCUGCCACGGUCGCCGUGGUGACGGAGCAGGGACCCCACUGACGUUGCAUCAGCACCAUCUGAGUGCGCUCGGAGCGAUGCAUCUCUCCACCUCCAGAGAAACGAUUGAGUCGUCAUGACAACACUCGCCUCUCUCUCUCUCUCCCCCCUACAUCUUUCUCACCCCUCCCUUUUUCUUUUCACCUUCCUCUAAAGAUUCCCUUUCAGUGUAAAUGAGUCAGAUUAUGGAUGAAUUGUUUACUAAUACGGUACCCCUCUUUUUUCCCCUCAUCCUUCCUUUUUUUGUUUUUUAAUCUUAAACAGAACACCCAUUUCCAUUUUUUUCCCCCUUUUUUUUGUUCAGGGUGGUUUAGUUCUGUGUGUCUGUGACCAGAUGUGAAGUCUUAUGUGCUCUAACUUGUAAAACAACGUCUUACCCGAGUCUGUAUCUGCAAGAGCUGUAAAAAAAACAAACCAGUCCGGAACUUUUAUUUUGAAGUCUUCUCAGUGAUGUUGUUUUUUUUUGUUGGCUUCCUGGAGCCAUAAUUGUGUUGCCAAGCAAAAUAAGGCCAAAGCUCCUGAGUUCAAGGACUCCUUUUUAGGUCCUUUUAUUAACUCGUCAGGUUGCAGAGCUUCACACUUUCAGCUGGAGCACAAAACAAGUCAUCUUUUUUUUUUCUCUGAGCACUGCAGAAUGUCUCCACCUCCCCUCCGGCUGGUGCAUCCCCCCCCCCCCCCCCCCUCCUCUCUCUCAAUCCCCUCCUCCUGACUGUGUGGAGGCAAUAAAACCACAUUUUAACUUUUUUUUUCCUUCAGAACUCAAAUAAUUUCUUACCCCUCGUUUUUCGCAGUGUAACUUCAGGAAUUUUGAACAUCAGCUGUUUACGUUCUGAUCUCAGUAUUUUAUUUAACUUUUUUUCGAUUUGAUGCGACACCCCCCUCAGCCCUCCUCAACCAGCCAGUUUAUUUUACCACUCAGUAUGCGUCGACUCCAGGAUGAGCCAUAUGCUAGCACGUGAAUUCUGAGAGAAAGUGUGUGUGGAAAGUGUGUGUGUGUGUGAGCUUGUGUGUGUGAUUGUCAAAUCUCUUACUAAUCAAUCCCUUCUGUGAGCCGUAGAUGCAGUUUUGGCGACUGUGUUUGACUUUUCCUUUAUUUUUCUUUCCAAUUUUGUUCUCAAACUACCUGUACCUCCAUCUGCGUGUGUGUGUGUUUUAUAGACUAUCUUUCUUUCUUUCUUACUUACAUAUUUCUAGAUAAUAAGUUUAAACUGAAGUUGUAACUUUCAAACUUUUCACUCUUUUUGGGUUUAAAAACCUGUACUGUGAUGAAUCUGAGGACAGUGUAAAAUCUGUCAAACCAGUCAUAACAUGGAUCUUUUUAUAGCGGGCUGACUGAGACUUACUGUUCUUACCCCUGUGUGAUACAGAUCCUACUUCUCUCUCUCUUCUGCUUCAGUGUGUGUGAGAUCUGUGGUCUCUGGCUCACUUAGGGUUAAAUAAACACAUAAGUUUCAUGUUCUUCUAGAAGUCCGGUUUGAAAAAAUGACCAUCUACGAGGCCUCAGGGGCAGAAAAUGAGCAGUGGGCCCCCUUUAACCCCACUGUUUUUGCUAAUGCUGUUAAACUCAUUGAGGAACAUGCACCAUCUUUAUUUUUGACACAGGCAGACAACAUGAGUAAUAAUCUAGAACCUGCCUAACUGCUAUAAUCAUCAAAUGACCUCAAACCUAAUGAAUCUGGGGCUUUGGGGAGGAUCUGGGAUCUGGUUUUGGUGAUCCAGCCUCAGUCAUGAGGCUCGUUUUUUUUUAUCAUCAGUGUCAAAACUUCACUGCCUCAUUCUCUCUACUCUAAAAACUAAUAGCUGUGUGUGUUUCUUUGGGUUAUUUUUUUUUCUUUCUCAGCGGGGGAAAUUUGUCGUUUCCUCUUUUUUGUGACAUCAGCUUUUUGUCUUGUGUGUUUUUUUUUGUUGUUGUUGUUGUUUUUUAAAUAACUGAACAGUGAUAGCAGGACGUCUGCAAGCCCAAACCACCACAGCAACAUCUAAACAUCUCAAUCCACUGCAGAAGUCCACAUUAACAUCACCUUGUACUGCAUGAGAGAUGCUAGUGGAGGGAAAUUGGGCACAAACCCUGAAUAACACGUCUGAUUUGAUACUGACAUUAAACAAUAUGUAGAUGUGAUGUAGUUUUUAAUUUUGGAACAACACUACUGUUCUUGAUAGGAGUGGAACAUUAGGAAAAACAUCUCUUGUAAAAAAGAAAUUGAUUUGAUGUCUCAGUCCCACUUUGUGUCUCUAGUCCUCACAAUACUGUAACUACUAGCCUGGUUUUUUUUUUAGGGAUGCAACACAUUCCUCUGGUGUGCAGUAGCUGUUUUAUUUUGUAGGAUGUCAUUUUUUUUCUCUCCCCCUCUGUAACACUAGCUGGGUUUUUUUCUACUCUCUCUUAACACUUUGUAAGUCAUUUGUGAGCUGUAAAACCUUUUUAACAUUAAAGAUUACAAUCUUUACCAAGAGAGCUUCUAGAUUUUUAAAAAUGAACACUUUUUAAAAAGGACUCGGAGAAACAAAAAAAAUCUGAAAAGCUUUUUUUUUUUUAAUGAAAGCCAUAAGCUGCUUGUGACAGGCAAGUUUAGGGAGCUGUGCUACUUCAGGACAAACUUUAUUCUCUUUUUAAGAAUACAAAAAACACAAGCAAUAAGAUAAAAGAAAAGGGCACAUUGCAGCAGCCUGAUGAAACAGAUGUUUGUUCUUUUCAGUACUAAUCUUUGAUCAGAAGUCAUGUACAUGCUGUAAAAGGUUGUGAUACACGGGCAAAGGAAGCAGUGGUUGUUAACUUACAGUAUCUGCCUGAAACACUGUACAGCAGCCUGAGCUCCACUGUGUCAUGGAGAAAUGUCGCUGUCAGCUAAAAACCGCCUGCUCCUCUGCUUCACUGUGUCGUCUGUCAAUCAUAACCUUCAGUCUGCAGCUGUCCUGUAGACGCUGAAAAUGGUGAUUAAAUUAUUGUGGAGUAAUGAUGAUGAUGAUGAUAAUGGAUCGUGUGAAGGAGAGUUGAAGUGUCACAGUUUUCUGUAAAUGAUCUGUUCUGGGAGCAGCAAUAAAAGGUUUGGGACAACACA